UUUGGACGACAGAAAGUUGGCGCAGAGAAAGAAAGAAGAAAAAAAAGAAGAAUAAAAGAGAGAGGUAUUAUUAGUUUGGAACCCGGUUAGAUUUAAACAUUAAACUUUGUUCUCUUCAUUAUUAAACAUGAUGUGGCUAAACUUUUUAUGGUUGCCUAGGGUUGAUGAACUAGACGAUUUGUUUGAAUGAUUAACUUUUGGUUUUGAAUGAAUGUGAUGAUUUACAUGAUAUAAUUUUUGAACCCGAUUCUAAUUAUUUGUGUGUUAGUUUUGAUUGGUUUGAUAAUAUAUUUAUUGGUUCCAUUGCUCUAGAUAGUUAGAAAUAUACUCUAGAGUCGGGAGUCAGUCUAGGUUGUAAUCUUUCGGUCUAGACCUUGAAAGUGAGAAAUCUAAUUCAAGUGUAAUAAUUAUUAAAACCAAUUAAUUAAAACGUGCAAUCUUUUCUAGAGGUGAGAAAUCUAAUCUAGAAUUGCUAGGUUAUUAGCUGGGCGUUGUUUGACAGUUUGGGUGGCCGAUAACUCGGGUUCAUCUGUUUAUUCGCGUCUAGAGUUUCCUGGGGUCUCGGUGUUCUUAGUUAUUUCUGCUUCAUAAUUUGAGGGUUUUAGUAAAUAAAUUACCUAAUACCUGAUAGUUGUGGGACUUGGUGGUCGAUAACUCGAGUCAGUCCAUUUUAGCACUUCAUCACUUGUCAUAAGGUUCGGUUUACCUUCUAGGGGUUUAUCGGGUUAGACAGAGUCUUCAUUCAGAACCAAGGUUAGGAUUUUAUUCAUGAGUCUAGGGAUUCUUUCCUAGGUAACCUAUUUUUCUCAUACUUGAGUUUCAGUCCAGUCUUUAGUCGCCUGCGCUUGCUGCUGUUUGAUCGUCUAUUUAGUUAAAUUGCUUUUUAGUUUAAAAAAUAUUUUUCUCAAAACAAAACCAAUUUAUUAGGCUAGGGCUCGAUAGAGGUUCAGUAUCAAGAGUCGCUAGAUUGUGUCCACGGUUCGAUACUCGGACUUACUUGUUUUACUACUUACGACCGGUACACUUGCCGGUAGUGUGUGGUUUACGGUUUUUCCAAUUUUUUAAAACUUGUUGAAUUUAAUUAAUACAUAUUUCACACAUCAAGUUUUUGGCGCCGUUGCCGGGGACACAGUGCGCUUUUGAGGACGACCCGAGUUGGGGAUUUAGCCAUUUUACUGCUUUCGUAGAUUAGUUUUGUUUUUCCUUAGUAAAAAAAAUAAAAA
rnacentral:lncRNA from 1 species